ensembl:snRNA U2 U2 spliceosomal RNA
GUUGCUUCUCAGCCUUUUGGCUAAGAUCAAGUGUAGCAUCUGUUCUUAUCAGUUAAAUAUCUGGUACGUCCAAUAUCUGAGGACAGUAUAUUAAGUGGAUUUUUGGAGCUGGGGGAUGGAACAAGAGUUUGCUGCAUCCACUCCAAGCAUUGACCUGGUACUGCAGUACUUCCAGAGCAGCCCUCUGGGG